GCGGGCGUAGCUCAAGGGUCAGAGCAGUUGCCUUAUAAGCGACCGACCCGGGUUCGAGUCCCGGCGUCCGCACCU
rnacentral:tRNA from 1 species